rnacentral:rRNA from 1 species
CUUGACGACCAUAGCGAGUUGGUCCCACUCCUUCCCAUCCCGAACAGGACAGUGAAACGACUUUGCGCCGAUNCGCCGAUGAUAGUGGACGGACGUCUGUGAAAGUAGGUCAUCGUCAAGC